AGUUUAUUUCUCACACAUUUCUCAUUUAUUUCUCAUUAAUAUCCGUUUAAAUUAAUAAAUAGUGAGAAAGAGUGGAAUUUUGAAUCUCUACAGCAAACUCCCGCUCAGUUUUGCGCUAAAAGUGAGACGCGGCCGAAGCAGAAAUCACAUCUCUCUCUAAAACAGUGAGACAGAUCUGACCACUAAUUUCAGUGUGAGACGCAGCCGGAGGAGAAACAGAUCUGACCCACAUACUGUGAGUAUCUUUAGUUUUAGUGU